GAUGAACGCUGGCGGCGUGCCUAAUACAUGCAAGUCGAGCGAACAGACGAGGAGCUUGCUCCUCUGACGUUAGCGGCGGACGGGUGAGUAACACGUGGAUAACCUACCUAUAAGACUGGGAUAACUUCGGGAAACCGGAGCUAAUACCGGAUAAUAUAUUGAACCGCAUGGUUCAAUAGUGAAAGACGGCUUUGCUGUCCCUUUUAGAUGGAUCCGCGCUGCAUUAGCUAGUUGGUAAGGUAACGGCUUACCAAGGCAACGAUGCGUAGCCGACCUGAGAGGGUGAUCGGCCACACUGGAACUGAGACACGGUCCAGACUCCUACGGGAGGCAGCAGUAGGGAAUCUUCCGCAAUGGGCGAAAGCCUGACGGAGCAACGCCGCGUGAGUGAUGAAGGUCUUCGGAUCGUAAAACUCUGUUAUUAGGGAAGAACAAAUGUGUAAGUAACUAUGCACAUCUUGACGGUACCUAAUCAGAAAGCCACGGCUAACUACGUG
rnacentral:rRNA from 1 species